rnacentral:lncRNA from 1 species
GUUCACAAAAUUAUGUCCAAACUUCUGAAAUCACAACCUAUCUUAUGAACUCUAGGCUGGCGGGGAAUAUAUGCUAACUCUAGCUAAUCAUCUAUCCCAUACCAGGGGCAUUCUCAGAACCAUUGUCUCAUCAAGACAUAACCAACCCAAAUCCUAGAAUACUUUGAGAUACUGCCUCUUAUAAUCAAGAAUGGUCAUCGUGGAUUGAAGAAUCAUACCAUGCCCCGCAAGUCUGAUGGGGACUCUACUCGCUAUGAUCAUCACAACUAAUCUGACAACUACUCAUAGUUUGGAAUACUAUUUUGCAUAGAGUUGAUAGGUGUAGGUGAAGCUGAACUCUAUCAGGAGGAUCCUCGCUCUCAAAUAAAAUACCAAUAACACUACAUUAAUGUCAUGCCUCUUGCCGCCAUUUCCAUAAGUCUUAAUAUUUGUGCUCUCUAUGGUCCUCUCAUAAUCAACACCCUAAGGGAAGGAAGAUUUGGAAGCUCAAGUGCUUCGAUACCAAAUAGAGUUAAAAUACUAACCCUC